GUUAAAUAUUGUUUUUUACCUGAUUGUUGUUGACAUUAUGGUUGGAUACCACAUUUUGUUGGAAUCCUUUGUGCUGUAGGUUUUUAAAAUACUAUUUUUUUGCUCCUAAUGUAUAAAUUAUAAUGGGCAUUACAUGUGUGUAUACGUGUGUACAUGUAUAUAAAUUCUUCAGUCCAAUUACAAUUUACAUGUUGCAUUUUUUAUGUGCAAGUUAACCCCUUUUGUUUUAUUUUCUUCAGUUAUUUCGAACAAUUGUUUUUAUUCAAUUGAGUCUAAAAUAUGAUAAGGCAUAAGUUGGAGUUUCUUGUUGGCUAAACAGUGGCAUGGCUACCAGCACAAAAACACUUGCUAACAUGGAAGAUGGUGUAACUAACAAUUAAGCAAGUAGGGCAGCUGACAUCAACACGGCCCCAUAAUACAUUGCUUUAGGCAUCAAACUAACUGUUGUUCUUUAGCCCAUCUAAUCUACAUGCUCCUUCCACAAUCUCUUUGUUCCUGCAAAUUUCUUCUAUCUUCCAUAUUUGCAGGAACAAAAAGAUUUGUGUAGAGUUUUUGGAGAUGAUAGUUGUGGCAAUUGUGGGAGUUGAAUUGGUGGAUGCGAGUGUGACUAACAAUUAAGCAAGUAGGAUGCUGACGUCAACAUAACCCAUAAUACAUUGCUUUAGACAUCAAGCUACCUUUUGUUCUUUAGCCCAUUUAAUCUACAUAAUAAUAAUCUCAGCUUUUAUCUUCCGUCACUUGCUCCAAGUUUUCUUCUCCCUCCAUUAUUUCCUUUUCAGUUUAUUUCAUUUUUUU
rnacentral:misc_RNA from 1 species